UGAGGAAUAUUGGUCAAUGGGAGCAAUCCUGAACCAGCAAUGCCGCGUGUGGGAUGACGGGGCUCAGCCCUGUAAACCACUGUCGGACGGGACGAAAGGAGCCUUCAGGGCUCUGGGACGGUACCGUCAAAGGAAGGGUCGGCUAACUACGUGCCAGCAGCCGCGGUAAUACGUAGGACCCGAGCGUUGUCCGGAAUUACUGGGUAUAAAGGGUGCGCAGGCGGCCGUGUGCGUCAGAGGUGAAAUCUCCGGGCUUAACCCGGAGGGUGCCUUUGAUACGGCAUGGCUUGAGUCCGAGAGAGGGUGAUGGAAUUCCUGGUGUAGCAGUGAAAUGCGUAGAUAUCAGGAGGAACACCGGUGGCGAAGGCGGUCACCUGGCUCGGCACUGACGCUUAGGCACGAAAGCGUGGGGAUCAAACAGGAUUAGAAACCCGAGUAG
rnacentral:rRNA from 1 species